rnacentral:rRNA from 1 species
CCUACGGGUGGCAGCAGUGAGGAAUAUUGGUCAAUGGCCGAGAGGCUGAACCAGCCAAGUCGCGUGAGGGAAGACGGCCCUACGGGUUGUAAACCUCUUUUGUUGGGGAGCAAAGCGAGUCACGUGUGACUCAUUGAGAGUACCCGCAGAAAAAGCAUCGGCUAACUCCGUGCCAGCAGCCGCGGUAAUACGGAAGGUCCGGGCGUUAUCCGGAUUUAUUGGGUUUAAAGGGAGCGUAGGCGGCAUGGCAAGCGUGCUGUGAAAUGUCCGGGCUCAACCCGGGCCUUGCAGCGCGAACUGGCAUGCUUGAGUCCGCGGAAAGCAUGCGGAAUUCGUCGUGUAGCGGUGAAAUGCUUAGAUAUGACGAAGAACCCCGAUUGCGAAGGCAGCUUGCUGCAGCGGAACUGACGCUGAUGCUCGAAAGCGCGGGUAUCGAACAGGAUGAGAUACCCUAGUAGUC